rnacentral:tRNA from 1 species
GGAAGAGAAUCGUCUCCGGUGGGGCGCGCGGUCUUCAAAACCGUUGAGAUGCCGCAAGGUGUUUGGUGGGUUCGACUCCUACCUCUUCCGCCA